UGAGGGAAUAUUUGGGUCAAUGGACGGGAGUCUGAACCAGCCAAGUAGCGUGCAGGAUGACGGCCCUAUGGGUUGUAAACUGCUUUUAUAGGGGGAUAAAGUGUGCCACGUGUGGCAUAUUGCAGGUACCCUAUGAAUAAGGACCGGCUAAUUCCGUGCCAGCAGCCGCGGUAAUACGGAAGGUCCGGGCGUUAUCCGGAUUUAUUGGGUUUAAAGGGAGCGUAGGCCGUUUUUAAGCGUGUUGUGAAAUGCCGCGGCUCAACCGUGGCACUGCAGCGCGAACUGGAUGACUUGAGUGCGCGGGAGGUAGGCGGAAUUCGUGGUGUAGCGGUGAAAUGCUUAGAUAUCACGAAGAGCUCCGAUUGCGAAGGCAGCUUACCGUAGCGUUACUGACGCUGAAGCUCGAAAGUGCGGG
rnacentral:rRNA from 1 species